GGUGAACGCUGGCGGCGUGCCUAAUACAUGCAAGUCGAGCGAAUGGAUUAAGAGCUUGCUCUUAUGAAGUUAGCGGCGGACGGGUGAGUAACACGUGGGUAACCUGCCCAUAAGACUGGGAUAACUCCGGGAAACCGGGGCUAAUACCGGAUAACAUUUUGAACCGCAUGGUUCGAAAUUGAAAGGCGGCUUCGGCUGUCACUUAUGGAUGGACCCGCGUCGCAUUAGCUAGUUGGUGAGGUAACGGCUCACCAAGGCAACGAUGCGUAGCCGACCUGAGAGGGUGAUCGGCCACACUGGGACUGAGACACGGCCCAGACCCCUACGGGAGGCAGAAGUAGGGAAUCUUCCGCAAUGGACGAAAGUCUGACGGAGCAACGCCGCGUGAGUGAUGAAGGCUUUCGGGUCGUAAAACUCUGUUGUUAGGGAAGAACAAGUGCUAGUUGAAUAAGCUGGCACCUUGACGGUACCUAACCAGAAAGCCACGGCUAACUACGUGCCAGCAGCCGCCGCGG
rnacentral:rRNA from 1 species